rnacentral:lncRNA from 1 species
CCCGAGCCCCGCUCGUUACCUGUGAUCGACUUUCGUCCUCAUCAAGACCUGACAGGGAGGUGUCCUGUCCCCUUCUUGCUAAUGGGAAAACGGAGGCUCAAAGAGGUGAGCCGACUUGCCCAAGGUCGCACAGUAAGGAGAGACGGGAUUCCUAGCACGAAAUCUAAGCACAAAAUGAGUUCUGGAAUGGACCCUGGAGACCCUCCCGGCCCGGCUGACUGCGGCACCUCCUCAUCCCUCUUCAACCAGCUCCUGGAAGCCCUACCCGUUCUCCCCGCCUGGCCAGUCCUCCAGAACCAGAAGGACCUUGCUUUCAAAGACCAUAGGAGCCAAACCUCCCUUUGCCCAGGGAAGGACGGUGACCUUUUCAGGGCAUCCUGGCCAGCCUGCAGCGCCCCGGCAUCCAUUGGGACACAGCCUCUGGCCCCUCCCUGAGCAGCCUGUGGCCUGCCUGCCUCCCUAACAAGCCUGACAGCAAUUUGGGGGCAGGACCAAGCUGGCUCAUCACCACAUGUCUUGUGUCUGUGCAUUGAGCUAAUGAGAGGAAAUCAGCAAAAGCCACAGGUAACUAAAUACGGGGAGGGUGGCUCCCCAGUCCCGCCGUGGGCUCAGAGCCUUGACAACUUCGUGGGUCAGAA